CCCCUCCAGAUAUAAGGGAUUCUGGGAAACAGAUAUCUUUUCUAAAAGGUUGGAAUUGUUCGAAUGUUUCUGUAAUUGCCAGGGACCACAGUAGAGAAUAUUUGAAAUCAAAAAGCCACUAAGAAUUCAGGUUGAGUGGUCAUCUGACCUUGACAAAAGUUUUUGGCCUCUGUUUUAAGAGUCUCAGGAUUUAAGCUCUUUAUCAUCUGCGUGACAACAGACAAAGUCACAGGCAGGAGUAACUCAGAAUGCAAUAUUGUAAGUACCUAAUACAUGAGGAAGCAAUUAAGAAGAGAGAUACAGAGGAGGUAUGACCUGAACUGAGCUUUCAGGGCAUUGUAGCAGAGAGCUGCCCUAUGGGAACACCCCAACUCCGGUCCCCACUGAUGGAACUGGACCCUUGUCCACCAGCCAUGGUUGACUGGCCAGACAAACCUGGUCCAAGGGCAUCCUCCUGGGCAGUCUGAGAUCUAGGACUUGGACCAGCAUGAAAAGAUGAGCCUUGGCAAUCAGAUUCCCUCCUGGAAUCUCAAAUAGGAAAAUCAAAAUGGUAGCUCUGGGAGCACAAGCAGAUGCUGAAAGACGUGCCUUGAGGCAAAGGUGGGGCUGGAGAUCUAGGACAAGCCAAAGCCUUUGCGAUCCCAAUUCACAAGGACACAGAAAGCAUGUCAGCAGAGGAGCCCACACUCAGUAUAAGUGACAGGGGGGUUAGAAAAAGAGAGACCAUGCGGCUGAAACGAGGGGUGGAGCAGCCAGUCCCUGAGCCCACGCUGGAACUUGAUGUCUUGCCAGCUCCGGUCCCAAUCUAUGUGCAGCCUUACAGCCACUCCUUAACCUUCUUUUCCUGGUGAUUGAAUGCCGUUCCUUGCAGCCUGAAAGCUGAACUGAAACAGAGUCAACCAGGCGGAGCAGAUGGGGGGAGAAUUUGAGGAGCCCAGCGUAGCACAGAUCGCAGUAGAAAGAUCAAAUUUCUCAUGGACAACUCAGGGAAAGGCGACAGGAAACCACAGCAGGUUUGGAAAAGGAGGGCGACACCGUCCAUAUGGGAUUCAAAAAACCAUGACAGUCUUGGAGGACAUCCUGCUUCCCAGCGUUGAAGCCUGCUGGUCCCAGUCCCCCACUGACGGCCUGCGCACAUGGGGAGCAUCUGGCUGAGAACGUGAAAGCCGCCUGUGGUUGGAAGCAGAACUACCCGUUAGGAUGCUCGGAGGGAGGAGGCUCCACUCAGACCGCCUAGAAGCUAGAAAGGACAGCCAAACGCUACGAGCCCCUGCUUUCUCAGAGAAAGAGAGGAAACCCACAGGGCCAGGUGACCUGCCCAAGGUCACUCCGGUCAUCGGCGUCCCACUGAGAUACCCGGUGUGGCCGUCAUCCUCCGGGUCUGCAGGCACAGUGCCCUUUAAACGGCAGUGCCAGUUCAGUGCUGGUGUGGGGACAGAUGAGUCCCGGAGGGCACAGACCAUAUUCUUCAUUGCCCUUCAUGGGGCACGCAGCAGGCUCCGGCACAACCUCUGAAAACACAACAAGAUCAGCGUCACAUCCUCCAGCCAGCUCUGCUGCGCUUCCCGUCACAGAAAUAUGGAGAGCCGUCUUGCUGCAUUUGUAGCAAUGCUGGUGUCACCCCGUAUUGUCAGUCGCUGCCAGCCUGUCUCUACCACAUGCUGUGAUGCUGUGUGCGCCCUGAGCACAGAGACUGCGCCCCACAAUCACAGCACGUGGUCAGAGGCAGAUGCAGAAGAAAUGUUAACGAGUGGAGGUAAAGGAAGUACUUUAGUUAAAUACGUAGGGAGAGGAUUUUUAACAUUUUAAUCUUGCCCACUCAGUGUGUAAGCGUUGAGCCAGGAAGUUACGGUUCGAUUCCUAGUCAGGGCACAUACUCGAUC